AUGUCAAUGGAAGAGGCUAUACGUUUCCUGUGUUGUAAUUGCUAUUUCUUUUGUGAGCAGAAUAUGACUAAUGGGUCCUUGCGCGGUGCUUUGCUGGUAUGUCAAUGUACUGGGUUUUUUGUAUUUGGCGUAAACUUGUAUGCACUGGGCGCUUCGCUUGUACAUCGUGCUGGAAUAUGUGGGGUUUUACAUAUUUUUCUUCUUAAUCACCAUGCAGGCAUAAAUCUGUGGGCACACAUUGUGCCGGAAUGGGUGUUGUUGGUGAGAUUCAUAAGCAUCAAGCUACAAAAUUUGGCUUUGCCUGGUGCCGCAGCUGCUGUGCGGACUAUAAGAGAUGGCCCUACAUUCCAAUAUCGAUUGUGCUAA
rnacentral:rRNA from 1 species